AAAAGAGAAUCAUUGAGGGUGAGAAUCCUGUUUGUCAUCUGCGGUCCUCCAUGCACAGCAUGCUUUCUAAGAGUCACGUUCCUCGGGAUUGGAGCGCAAACUGGGUGGUAAAUUUCAUCUCAAGCUAAAUAUGGGUUUGAGACCGAUAGCAAACAAGUACCAUGAGGGAAAGAUGAAAAGGACUUUGAAAAGAGAGUUAAAAGUGCCUGAACUUGCUGAAAGGAAAGCGGAUGGAACCAGUCCUGCUUGGUGAGAUUGUUGUGCGCCAAAGCGAUUGCUCGCAACAUCAGCGCAAGCGGUGCUGUGAGUCUUGAGCUGGCCGUGCGCGAUGCUUCUUGUCUUGUGCGUCAUCAACGUUUUGCAGGUGAGGACAACUCUUGAUACAUGGUAGCUUGCCUCUGGGCGAGUGAAUAUGUCUUGUAGAACUCACCUGCAGAAUGUAUCUCAAUGUGAGGUUGCGUUGCUGUGUGUCUGGGCACCAGGAGCGCUGCAUGCUUGCAAUUCUCCCUUGCUCCCUCAGCGCCUCCCUUGCAACUACAUGGUGACCAAAUGGUUCCAUUCGACCCGUCUUG
rnacentral:rRNA from 1 species